ensembl:snRNA U6 U6 spliceosomal RNA
GUGAUUUCUUUGGCAACACAUAUACUAAAUAUUGAAACAAUGCAGAGACUAGGAUGGUCCCUGUUCAUGGUUGACAAGCAAAUUUGUAAAGCAUUUUAUAUUUUA